UACGUACUGCGCGAACGUUAUUCGGAAUCACUGGGCUUACAGGGUGCGUAGGCGGCUGUCCAGGUCUGAUGUGAAAUCCCCCGGCUCAACCGGGGAACUGCAUUGGAAACCGGGCAGCUCGAGGUAGCUAGAGGCAUGCGGAACUUCCGGUGGAGCGGUGAAAUGUGUUGAGAUCGGAAGGAACACCAGAGGCGAAAGCGGCAUGCUGGGGCUAUUCUGACGCUGAGGCACGAAAGCCAGGGGAGCGAACGGG
rnacentral:misc_RNA from 1 species